UACGGAAGGCAGCAGUGGGGAAGUAUUGCACAAUGGGCGAAAGCCUGAUGCAGCUAUGCCGCGUGUAUGAAGAAGGCCUUAGGGUUGUAAAGUACUUUCAUCGGGGAGGAAAAAACAAAACUAAUAAUUUUAUUUCUUGACGUUACCCGAAAAAGAAGCACCGGCUAACUCCGCGCCAGCAGCCGCGGUAAUACGGAGGGUGCUAGCGUUAAUCAGAAUUACUGGGCGUAAAGAGCACGUAGGUGGUUUUUUAAGUCAGAUGUGAAAUCCCUGGGCUUAACCUAGGAACUGCAUUUUGAAACUGAAAUACUAGAGUAUCGUAGAGGGAGGUAGAAUUCUAGGUGUAGCGGUGAAAUGCGUAGAUAUCUGGAGGAAUACCUGUGGCGAAAGCGGCCUCCUAAACGAAUACUGACACUGAGGGUGCGAAAGCGUGGGGAGCAAACAGGGAUUAGAUACC
rnacentral:rRNA from 1 species